rnacentral:rRNA from 1 species
AGUCGAACGGCAGCACGGACUUCGGUCUGGUGGCGAGUGGCGAACGGGUAGAGUAAUGUAUCGGAACGUGCCUAGUAGCGAGGAUAACUACGCGAAAGCGUAGCUAAUACCGCGCAUACGCCCUUCGGGGGAAAGCGGGGGACCUUCGGGCCUCACUAUUAGAGCAGCCGAUAUCGGAUUAGCUAGUUGGUGGGAGUAACGGCUCACCACCAGGGCGACGAUCCGUAGCUGGUUUGAAGGACGACCAGCCACACUGGGACUGAGACACGGCCCAGACCCUGCAGGAGGCAGCGGUGGGGAAUUUUGGACAAUGGGGGAAACCCUGAUCCAGCCAUCCCGCGUGUGCGAUGAAGGCCUUCGGAUUGUAAAGCACUUUUUUGGCGGGGAAAGAAACGGCUGGGAUAAUACCCCGUGCAACUGACAGUACCUGCGAAUAAAGCACCGGCUAACUACGUGCCAGCAGCCGCGGUAAUACGUAGGGUGCAAGCGUUAAUCGGAAUUACUGGGCGUAAAGCGUGCGCGAACGGUUCGGAAAGAAGAUGUGAAAUCCCAGAGCUUAACUUUGCGGAACUGCAUUUUAACUACCGAGCUAGAGUGUCAGAGGAAGUGGAAUUCCGCGUGCUUAGCGAUGAAAUGCGUAGAUAUGCGGUACAAAUGGCGAGAGCAGCCUCCUGGGAUAACGCUGACGCUCAUGCACGAAAGCGUGGGAGCAAACAGGAUUAGAUGCCUGGUAGUCCCGCCUAAACGAUGUCAACUAGCUGUUGGGGCCUUCCGGGCCUUGGUAGCGCAGCUAACGCGUGAAGUUGACCGCCGCAAGAGUACGGUCGCAAGAUUAAAACUCAAAGAAAUUGACGGGGACCCGCACAAGCGGUGGAUGAUGUGGAUUAAUUCGAUGCAACGCGAAAAACCUUACCUACCCUUGUAUGUCUGGAAUCCCGAAGAGAUUUGGGGAGUGCACGCAAGAGAACCGGAACACAGGUGCUGCAUGGCUGUCGUCAGCUCGUGUCGUGAGAUGUUGGGUUAAGUCACAACGAGCGCAACCCUUGUCAUUAGUUGCUACGAAAGGGCACUCUAAUGAGACUGUCCGGUGACAAACCGGAGGAAGGUGGGGAUGACGUCAAGUCCUCAUGGCCCAUAUGGGUAGGGCUUCACGUCAUACAAUGGUCGGGACAGAGGGUCGCCAGCCGCGAGAGACCAUCCCAGAAACCCGAUCGUAGUCCGGAUCUGCAGUCUGCAACUCGACUGCGUGAAAUUGAGAUCGCUAGUAAUCGCGGAUCAGCAUGUCGCGGUGAAUACGUUCCCGAGGUCUUGUACACACCGCCGUCACACCAUGGGAGUGGGUUUUACCCAAGUAGUUAGCCUAACCAUGCAAGGAGGGCGAUUACCACGGUAAAGUUCAUGACUGGGGUGAAGUCGUAACAGGUAA